GACGAACGCUGGCGGCGUGCUUAACACAUGCAAGUCGAACGGAAAGGCCUGCUUUCCCUUGUGGAUUGCGGGUACUCGAGUGGCGAACGGGUGAGUAACACGUGAGUGAUCUGCCCCCAACUUGGGUAUAAGCCUGGGAAACUGGGUCUAAUUCCCGAUAGGACUGCAGGGUGGUGCCUGUGGUGGAAAACGAUUUUCUAGUGGUUGGGGAUGAGCUCGCGGCCUAUCAGCUUGUUGGUGGGGUAAUGGCCUACCAAGGCGGCGACGGGUAGCCGGCCUGAGAGGGUGGACGGCCACAUUGAGACUGAGAUACGGCCCAGACUCCUACGGGAGGCAGCAGUGGGGAAUAUUGGACAAUGGGCGGAAGCCUGAUGCAGCGACGCCGCGUGGGGGAUGACGGCCUUCGGGUUGUAAACUCCUUUCGACCGCGAGGAAGCCACCUGGUUGGAAGGGUGGUGACGGUAGUGGUAGAAGAAGCACCGGCUAACUACGUG
rnacentral:rRNA from 1 species